UAUGGCCAUAUCACGUUUAAACACCGGUUCUCGUCCGAUCACCGAAGUUAAGCAACGUCGAGCUUGGUCAGUACUUAGAUGGUUAACGGCUUGGGAGUAGCU
rnacentral:rRNA from 1 species